GAAGUUCCAGGAUAUGGCUAUAACAACAAACUCAUCUUGGCAAUAUCUGUAACUGUAGUAGUGACGAUUUUGGUUACAAUUCUGUGUCUCAUUGAGGGGCUUUUUUCGAUUUCUGCUGCGUAAGAGAAGCUCAGGGCAAAGUGAGAGUCAGGAGAACCCUUUCGGGAGAAGGCGGCCACUUUGACAUAGGG